AAGUCGUAACAAGGUUUCCGUAGGUGAACCUGCGGAAGGAUCAUUAACGUAUCUAAAGGCGGGAGUCGCCGCGAGCCCCGCUCCGACCGCGAGGUCGCGCAGCGGGUUAGCGCGCGCUCCGCCGAACCUUCACAAACCCCACCGCGCACCUUCACGGCGGAGGGCGCCGGGCGAGAGCUCGACGUCCGAAGCCGUCUCGAACCAAACACAACGUUUUAAAGAAUGUCUCAGCGGCCUCUGCGUCGCCUAACAAACGAAACAACUUUCAACAACGGAUCUCUUGGCUCUC
rnacentral:misc_RNA from 1 species